UACGAAGGGUGCAAACGUUGCUCGGAAUUAUUGGGCGUAAAGCGCACGUAGGCGGCUUUGCAAGUCGGAUGUGAAAUCCCUCGGCUUAACCAAGGAAGUGCAUCCGAAACUGCAGAGCUUGAGUACUUAAGAGGAUCGCGGAAUUCCCGGUGUAGAGGUGAAAUUCGUAGAUAUCGGGAGGAACACCAGUGGCGAAGGCGGCGAUCUGGGAAGAUACUGACGCUGAGGUGCGAAAGCGUGGGAGCAACAGG
rnacentral:rRNA from 1 species